CAACGAUUAAAAUUGAUGAAAUUCGGAAGAUAAAUAAGUAAAUCUCACACGAUUAGAUUUCAAGAUCCGAUUGUAAUACAUAAUUAAAAAUACGUGUGCCUAAUUAUGGUUCUAUUAUUCGCCGAAAGAGCAGUCGUGACGGAAAAACUGACAUAGCCGAGGUGAGAAAUUAAGACGGGCAGUUUAGAAGCGAACGUUGGAAAUCAAUUACGCUAUAUUUAAAAACGAAUUAAAAAUAAAGACGAGAUGAUUCCGAACCUCCAUAAUUCGCCGAUAUAGAAAACGGAAAAAAAAAAAAAAAAAAAAAACGAAAUGUCCAAUAAUACCGCGAACGACUCCUCGGUUAUACUUGUCGACAAAAUCGAUAUUUUCCUGAAGACGAUUUCUCCGCGACGACCAGUGGAUGUUUAACGCCGA